rnacentral:rRNA from 1 species
AAACUAACAAGGAUUCCCUUAGUAGCGGCGAGCGAAGCGGGAAGAGCUCAAAUUUGAAAGCUGGCGUCCUACGGGCGUCCGCAUUGUAAUCUAUAGAGGCGUUUUCUGUGCUGGACCGUGUCCAAGUCCCUUGGAACAGGGUAUCAAAGAGGGUGACAAUCCCGUACUUGACACGACAACCAGUGCUCUGUGAUACGUCUUCUACGAGUCGAGUUGUUUGGGAAUGCAGCUCAAAAUGGGUGGUGAAUUCCAUCUAAAGCUAAAUAUUGGCGAGAGACCGAUAGCGAACAAGUACCGUGAGGGAAAGAUGAAAAGCACUUUGGAAAGAGAGUUAAACAGUAUGUGAAAUUGUUGAAAGGGAAACGAUGGAGGUCAGUCGUGUCUGUGGGAUUCAGCCGUCUCUGGCGGUGUACUUCCCACAGACGGGUCAACAUCAGUUUUGGCUGGCGGAUAAAGGCAGGAGGAAGGUGGCACCCCCGGGUGUGUUAUAGCCUCUUGUUGCAUACGCUGGCUGAGA